AGUGAACGCUGGCGGCAGGCCUAACACAUGCAAGUCGAGCGGCAGCGCGGGGGCAACCCUGGCGGCGAGCGGCGGACGGGUGAGGAAUUCGUCGGAAUCUGCCUUUUUGUGGGGGAUAACGUAGGGAAACUUACGCUAAUACCGCAUACGUCCUACGGGAGAAAGUGGGGGACCGCAAGGCCUCACGCAGAAAGAUGAGCCGACGACCGAUUAGCUAGUUGGUGGGGUAAAGGCCCACCAAGGCGACGAUCGGUAGCUGGUCUGAGAGGAUGAUCAGCCACACUGGGACUGAGACACGGCCCAGACUCCUACGGGAGGCAGCAGUGGGGAAUAUUGGUCAAUGGGCGCAAGCCUGAUCCAGCCAUGCCGCGUGUGUGAAGAAGGCCUUCGGGUUGUAAAGCACUUUUGUCCGGAAAGAAAUCCCUGGAGCUAAUACCUUCGGGGGAUGACGGUACCGGAAGAAUAAGCACCGGCUAACUUCGU
rnacentral:rRNA from 1 species